ensembl:lncRNA
UGGUCUCUGGUCUGGUUCCCUGGUCUCUGGUCUCUGGUCUGGUCUCUGGUCUUGUCUCUGCUCUCUGGUCUCUGGUCUGGUCUCUGGUCUGGUCUCUGGUCUGGUCUCUGGUCUGGUCUCUGGUCUCUGGUCUGGUCUCUGGUCUGGUCUCUGGUCUCAGCCCCUGGUCUUUGGUCUGGUCUCUGGUCUGGUCUCUGGUCUCUGGUCUCUGGUCUUUGGUCCCUGGUCUCUGGUCUCUGGUCUCUGGUCUGGUCUCUCUGGUCUGGUCCCUGGUCUCUGGUCUGGUCUCUGGUCUCUGGUCCUCUCUGGUCUCUGGUCUCUGGUCUGGUCUCUGGUCUGGUCUCUGGUCUCUGGUCUGGUCUCUGGUCUGGUCUCUGGUCUCUGGUCUCUGGUCUCUGGUCUCUGGUCUCUGGUCCCUGGUCUCUGGUCU